rnacentral:rRNA from 1 species
AAUCCUUUUAUCAUAAUUUGUUCUGAAAAA